AUCUCGGGCACGCGGGUGAUUGGAGACAGUAUCAGUGUCAGCCAAGUAACUUGUGCGGUCCUCGAGCCAUACAGAUUUACACGUGAUUUUCAGGUUAUUUAAAAUCGGGCAGGUAAAUGUUUGGUUUAGUCCAUCAUUCCUCAAUCUGAAGAGGAGUAGGAGUUAAACUAACACUCCCGUGAACCAAUACGUGUCUUCACUGGAGUCAAAGACAAGUGCACGAUCCAAGAAGAAAUAACUACAGUUUAGGGACUUCCAUAUUUACAUCGCAGCUUUAACAUGGUAGAAAGAGUGUUCCUCCUGGCGCUGACCCUGGCGUUCUUCCUGAUGUUCUGUCAAGGUACAGAGGCAAUCCCAGCACCAACUGAGGUGGACGGCGUCCCUUGGAAUAAAAUACCUCCGAAGUUCCAAAAUUGGUACCUAAAAUAUAUGAUAAAAAGAGGAGGCUGCACAACCGAAGAAUGCAAAAAGCUAUUGGAAGAAUGGGAUCUUUAUCUUUUGGAAAAUGGAUACGCAAAGACAUAUGCUCGGUUUGGCGGGACGUAGUUAAACCAAGGCAAUGGCGGGCGUACCUUCAAAUGAAGGAAGAAAAACUUUUGAAAGACCUUAUUUAUACGGAAAACAUUUAAGAAUGAAGUUAUAUCUUUCAUCACAGUAAUAAAAUUAAGAAAACAGAUGACUGACGUGAUUUUGCGUUUUGAAAGCCAUGCAUUUAAUACUGCAUCAGCUUCAUUCGCUAGAGAGAUUUGUGUAAACCUUGAACUUAAAAAAAAAAAAAAAGACGACUCUGUAUAUAAAAUUCAGUUCUAAUGACACUGCACGUAUGUCAGAACCUUGGACCUGGAGACAACCUACGUUACUUCCGGGGUGCGAAAUGAUGCUGUCUGGGGCGCAUGCCACGAGGAAAAGUGACGCAACGGGGAUUGAUUUACCAAAUUUAGUUGCCGACAAGCAAGAGUGGGUUAUCUCCACACGUAUCUCUAUUUGCCAAGAGAACUUUGCACCAGCUUUUAGAGUCAUAUAUUUAUUUAAAUUAAAAAACGUUAGGUGACUAAGUUCGCCCAAAACCGUCAUCACUAGGCUUAUAUUAAGGAAAACGCUCUUUCUAAUCCCUGCUCCUAUGAUAAAAUCUUAGAAAAUUGACUGUAUUACGCAUUUUCAUGAAUUUUGUAUAUACGUAUUUGGAUUGUUCAGCAGACAUUUAUACAUGUAUCAUAAUUUAAUUGCAAGCAAUAUCUACUCGUUCUCAUAUAAAAAGGCUAACAUAUCGAAUGCUAAAUGGUCAAGGGCGACGGAAAACGCAGAAACUUAUAUUUUAGUCCGACGUUAUUUAAAUCCAAAUGAACAUCAUUGUCUCUAGAUUGUUAUUAGAAUUUCAUCAAGUGUAAAUAAAGCAUAAUUAGAUUACCCA